AGCGGCGGACGGGUGAGUAAUGCUUAGGAAUCUGCCUAUUAGUGGGGGACAACAUUCCGAAAGGAAUGCUAAUACCGCAUACGCCCUACGGGGGAAAGCAGGGGAUCUUCGGACCUUGCGCUAAUAGAUGAGCCUAAGUCGGAUUAGCUAGUUGGUGGGGUAAAGGCCUACCAAGGCGACGAUCUGUAGCGGGUCUGAGAGGAUGAUCCGCCACACUGGGACUGAGACACGGCCCAGACUCCUACGGGAGGCAGCAGUGGGGAAUAUUGGACAAUGGGCGGAAGCCUGAUCCAGCCAUGCCGCGUGUGUGAAGAAGGCCUUUUGGUUGUAAAGCACUUUAAGCGAGGAGGAGGCUCUUAAGGUUAAUACCCUUGAUGAGUGGACGUUACUCGCAGAAUAAGCACCGGCUAACUCUGUGCCAGCAGCCGCGGUAAUACAGAGGGUGCGAGCGUUAAUCGGAUUUACUGGGCGUAAAGCGUGCGUAGGCGGCUGAUUAAGUCGGAUGUGAAAUCCCUGAGCUUAACUUAGGAAUUGCAUUCGAUACUGGUCAGCUAGAGUAUGGGAGAGGAUGGUAGAAUUCCAGGUGUAGCGGUGAAAUGCGUAGAGAUCUGGAGGAAUACCGAUGGCGAAGGCAGCCAUCUGGCCUAAUACUGACGCUGAGGUACGAAAGCAUGGGAGCAAACAGGAU
rnacentral:rRNA from 2 species